UACGUAGGGGGCUAGCGUUGUCCGGAAUCAUUGGCGUAAAGCGCGUGUAGGCGGUCCGGUAAGUCCGCUGUGAAAGUCGAGGGCUCAACCCUCGAAUGCCGGUGGAUACUGUCGGGCUUGAGUACGGGAGAGGCGAGUGGAAUUCCUGGUGUAGCGGUGAAAUGCGCAGAUAUCGGGAGGAACACCUAUGGCGAAGGCAGCUCGCUGGGACGUUACUGACGCUGAGACGCGAAAGCGUGGGGAGCAAACAGG
rnacentral:rRNA from 1 species